UAUCUAUGAGGCUCCAUGAGUCUCCUUUAUAUCAUCGUCACAUAAACAAUUCAAUGGACUUAGGAUGAAAACAAAAGUAUCGAUACGACUGAAAUUUUCUAAGUUCUUUUGGACUUAGAAAAACUUUAUAAAAAAAAAGUAUGCACAUUCAACGCCAUCUUGGCAACUAUAGUCCUACGCAGUCUUACGUGCCGUAUGCACCGAUGCACAUUGGCAUAAGUGUUAAAUAAACUAAUAAAUUAGUAUGUUUAAUUAUGUUCUUUUACACAGUCUGAUGACACUUUGUGCAAUUGUUGAAAAACAUUUAGAGUUGGAAAUAAUUAUGUGUGUGGACUAUUAGGAUGAGAUUUCUGAAGCUGCCAAAUGAAAAUCUAAAAGUAAAUAAACAAUUACGUAUGUAAUAUAAUUUAUCAGCCUGAGAAAAGGUUCAGCUGACACCCAAAAGAGGAGUCCAUUAAAUAUACUGGCAUAAUAAUAUUAACUAUUUAUAUUUAUUAAUAAUAUUUGGGAUGUUACCAUCAAAAUUAUAGAUGCCUUUUUUUUAUAUACUAUGUCGUUAUUGUUAAUACAUACAAUGUUUUUCGAACUAUUUGUUUAUAACUAUAUCGCAUAUAAAUGUAAUUCAAGU